UCUAUGAUUUUGAAUAAUUAACGUAACAAGAAAACCCUUAUUUCUAGCAAUGUUAAACUGACACAAGAGCAUCUCAAGAAAGAUUUAAAAAAAAAGAAGGAACUCGGCAAACCUAAACCCCGCCUGUUUACCAAAAACAUCGCCUCUUGAAUUAAAUAAGAGGUCCAGCCUGCCCAGUGAAAUUAUUCAACGGCCGCGGUAUCCUAACCGUGCGAAGGUAGCGUAAUCACUUGUUCUUUAAAUGAGGACUAGUAUGAAUGGCCCCACGAGGGUUUUACUGUCUCCUUUUUUAAAUCAGUAAAACUAAUCUUCCCGUGAAGAAGCGGGAAUUUUUUUAUAAGACGAGAAGACCCUAUGGAGCUUUAAACAAAUGACAUUUGCUCCAUCAUAUACUUUAUUCUGCAAGAAAUAUAGCAUUAUGAUCUUUAGUUUUCGAUUGGGGUGAUCACGGAGUAAAAUCUAACCUCCACGCCGAAAGGGUUUAUUCCCUGAGCAAAAAGCUACAGCUUUAGGCACUAAAAAAUUAACGCAAUUUGACCCAAUGUAUUGAUCAACGAACCAAGUUACCCUAGGGAUAACAGCGCUAUCCACUUCAAGAGCUCCUAUCGACAAGUG
rnacentral:rRNA from 1 species